rnacentral:lncRNA from 1 species
GAAAAAGAGAGAGGGACUUAUUUGAAAUGUAUUGUAUUGUGCUGUACCUGUACUAGUCAGCUUGUGUGUGAAUAAGAGAGAAAUUAAAAGAUGGCGGGCUUUGGAUUUGAAUGAUUGUUGCUGGUGCUAACUGCUAACAUGCCAAACACGGUACUAUUUUGACACAUACCUGCUGCUGCUGCUGCUGCUGCAUGGGGAUAAGGUGAUCAUAAUGCAAAAGGAAGGGGGAAAUGUUUCAACGCGCAAUGUGGAGUCAAUUUUGUGGAAUUUGUCGUAAGCAAAUUGGGCGAAACAUAGUAGAUAGUACAGCACGCUCAAAGGGCGCGUUUGGAUGGUGGUGAAAGUGGCACCUUG